ACAACGGUACUACGAAUCCUGCGUUUUAUUUAGCUUAAAUGAAGAUAUCCAAUUACAGUUUCUUUUUCUUCAAGAAGAUGGAUUAUGGAACUGGAAAAACGUUUUGGAUGUUGGAAGUGAAGCUUAUGAUUGAAAGAAAAUUAGAACGAGGUAGGAAGUGGAUGGAGAAUGACAACGCGAGCUUUACAUUCAAUCUCAAAUAUGUACAUCUGAUUAACCUAAGAAGGGUUAAGAAAGGUGAUAAUAAUGGGUGAAAGAACAAAAA